AAAUUGUUGACUAUAGGAGACUACUUAAUAACUAUCGAAAGUUGUGUACUGUUUGUAUAUAACAAUGAGUACUGUUAAUAAUAUGUUUGUUAAUAAGUAUUUAACUACAAGUUAUGGACUACUGCAUCUAGACAAUUCUUACACAGACAACAGUAUUAAAAACUGCCAUUAUAUUUAAAAUUUAUUGAGACGCAAUUAAUAAUGUUUGUGCCAUAAACAGACAACUUGCAUUCACUCAAUAAGUUCUCGGCUGAUUGACCUAUUUAAACGUGUAGUAAACGACACACACAAUUCCCGCCCCACCCCCGCCCACCCCAAUCCACAGUCCCUAGAUAUGACAUAUUGAUAGUUCCAUACACAUUAUUACAUAUACUAGACUGAGUAUGUAUUUUAUUAUAAAUGGUAUAUAUGUCUUGAUUCCUACAGUUAGGUUUCCUUCUUGAUCACUCUUGGUUAAGGCAUAGUUUAAAGAACAAGUUCUGAACAAUUUUUUUCUGAGGACUUUUAAUAAAAAAAAAAAAUUACUAAUAAUAUAUGUAUAUUCAUAUUAUUUUGUGCAAUAGAAUGUCAACUUCAAGCAUAACAUUCCCAAGAAUCAUGACCACUGUGACUGAAUUUGCUUUAAGACUGAUAUUUUUUUUUUAUCAAGAAUUGGCCAGAACGUAUCUUUUGGUGCAAUUUUUAUGCCUAAUAUUGAUUAAGAUUAUGCAAUAGAAUAUCAGGAAAAACUACAAUAAUAUGUAGUGUAAAGUUAUUAAAAUUAGUCUCUCUGUCCUUGGAUUCAUUUAUUUUCCCAAACUUUGAACUGUACGCAUACCGGAUUAAAACUGUGUACUAGGUUCAAAGUCAAGCCAAUGCCAUUUUGUUCAAGGUUCAAAGGUGGAUUUAACUUAAUCACUUCAUAUUUUGUGACCUUUGAAUUAAUAUGUCAAGGUAAUUUCAAAUUGUUAAAUUCAAGGUUGAUAUUAUACGUGGCAAUAUGUAUUGUGAUUAAAAAAUCAUGUGUUUUUUUGUUCCUGUUCAUAUUAAGAAUUACUUUAAAUUUAUAGUUUGCACAUUGUGGGUUCUUUUUUGGUAUUAGUUAAUUAGAUGCGUUAUGAUUAUGUCAAUAUUUAUUUCACUAAGCUUUAAUUUAUUUAAGCUUGUAGUCUUAGAAUUUUAGCAUGUGAAUGAGGAAUCAUUUUGAAGUUCGUAUUUAAUGUACACCCAACUUUUAAGGCUUUAGUCCCCAUAAAUCAGAAAUCCGUUUGAUUAGCAGUCAUUAUUGAGAAAUGCAUUUUUAUAGAGUUUAUUUUUUUAAAGAUUGUUUUUCUUCAAAAUACAACCAAAAAUAGGUAUUUUGACAUGAUUUUAAUUUACCUACGUUUAUAUAUAUCAGCUAAGAUGACAAUACUAUAUUCUUGUGAAGAUGAUAUCCCUACAAAGAAAUCCUAUCUGAUUCGUUAAAGAUGUACUUUUAUCUCUGUUAUAUAACCAAAGGAGUUUAACAUUUGGAUGGUCAUGUGUUAAUUCAUUGUAUCCUGUACACUUAAAUAUUACAGAGAGAGAGAAUGAGAGAGAGAGAGAGAGAGAUAUUCCAUGUAUAACAAUUAAAAGUGAUUAGAAAGUUCAUUCCUUAUAUAGUGAUAUUAAAAGUUGUUUUUUUUGUAAAAGAAUUUGUUUUAAGAAUAUGAAAUGAUGGAUAAAUCUACGAAAUUUCACCUUCCUGGAAUCUGCAAUAUUUCUUCUGUUAACAGUUUCUAAUUCUCUUGUUGUUUUAUACCUGUACUUAUAAAUGACAUUUCUUCUAUAAAAUGGAAUGUUAAAAUAACUUUAUGAUCCAUUUGCUAUUUUACUAGCUGCUCUUGAACAUUAACUACUUAGAAAUUACACUUUGUAAAAAGCAAAUGUAGCCAAACUGCAUUUAUAUACUUCUUAACAGAACUAUGUUAUAUUUGAUAUAGUACAUACAUGUAUGUGAUUGUUACACAAACAUUCCAUGAACAAACUUUCUCUUAUUUACGCCAUCCUUUUCAGUUCUGAGAUGUUAUGCAGUACAUGCACAUGUACAUGUUUAUGAAAUAUGUUAAUGAACAGUUAAGUGUACCAUUGACACUCUCAUAAACUCUUUGAUGUCUAGUUAAUGUAAUUAUUUUUAUGUGUGAGACUUAUUUCUGAUGUUGAUAAAAAUAAUAAAAUUGAACAGUUAAAAA